GGCCUGGGAACCUGCCAGCAAGGCAGUCCACCACCACGUCCUUUUGCCUCUGGCCGCGGCACACUGGAGGGAAGCCGUGGGGCCCUGCAGGGAACCCUGCCUUGUCCAGACUCUGCAAGGUGCCUCUGCAGGGCUUCUGGCGUCCCUUCCACAGGAGCUAUUUGCAACCCUGGGAAUUGUAGAGAACUUCUGUCCUGCCUGGAGAGGCUUGACUGCCCCUGUGGGCCCUGCUGAGAGGCUGGCUCUGCUUCCAUCUGUACUUCAUGCUCCUCACUCCGUGUGAACUCCUGCCACUGGGACUGCCUCUGAGAACCAGUCACAGCACCUGCCAGCUUCCCUCAUGCACAGACUACGCUGGGAUGCCAAGGACUGACAUUCAUACCUGUGUUCUCCUCUCCUUGUGAAGUCCAGAGAACUGAGUGCUACUCUUUUCCUAGUGGCAUUGUCACCGCUGUGAUGAGACUGGACCGCGAGGAGGCAGCAGGAGGAGCGUGGCCACCUCUGCAAUUGACACCAAAGCCCAACCUUUUAUGUGAGAGCGUGGCAGGCUUCCUGAGUGGGAGGCAUUCUGAGCAUAUCACUUAAGGACUGCACUAGAGGAAAACAUGGAGUGAACUCGCUGACAACGAUUUUUGAAAUCCAGGGUAAUUAGUUCCAUCAGAACAAUCCCAAUUACAUUCCUAAUUCUCUCUGCCUUGCUGAAAGCACCGAAAGUGAACCAUGUUGGUGUCAUUAUAUUCCUGCUCAGAAGAGUCUUUAUCACCAGCGCUGGGAAUGGAGGAGGGGUUGAGGAAGGGGCCAGUGCCCAGGUUGUGGGAAGCCCCCACAAGGGGACCAAGCCAAUGAUACCAGCGUGGCACAAGGGCCUGAAAGUCAAAGAGUGGCCAGUGCGGGGUGAGGAAGGGGACCAAGUUUCUGGUCGUCUCCCGAGGAAUUCAAGUAACACUCAUGUGAGGACAUUUAUAACGUCAGCUCCAGAGACAUCUUGGUAGCCAAAUGAGGAAAGAAAAUAACUU
rnacentral:lncRNA from 1 species